rnacentral:rRNA from 1 species
GAAACGAGGGCUAAUACCGGAUAAGACUUUAGUUCAUAAGAAUUAGAGUUAAAAGUUUCGGCGCUGAAGGAUGGGUCUGCGUCCCAUUAGCUAGUUGGUAAGGUAAUGGCUUACCAAGGCAACGAUGGGUAGCGGGUCUGAGAGGAUGAUCCGCCACACUGGCACUGAGAUACGGGCCAGACUCCUACGGGAGGCAGCAGUGGGGAAUCUUGCGCAAUGGGCGAAAGCCUGACGCAGCAAUGCCGCGUGAGUGAAGAAGGCUUUCGAGUCGUAAAGCUCUUUAUCUCUGCGAAGAUAAUGACGGUAGCAGAGGAAUAAGCACCGGCUAACUACGUGCCAGCAGCCGCGGUAAUACGUAGGGUGCGAGCGUUGUUCGGAAUCACUGGGCGUAAAGGGCGUGUAGGCGAAUGGAUCAGCUAGAGGUGAAAGCCCGGAGCUCAACUCCGGAAUAGCUUCUGGAACUGCCCAUUUAGAGAGGGUCAAGGGCUAGCGGAAUUCCUGGUGUAGCGGUGAAAUGCGUAGAUAUCAGGAGGAACACCGGCGGCGAAAGCGGCUGGCUGGGGCCACUCUGACGCUGAGGCGCGAAAGCG